rnacentral:rRNA from 1 species
UACGGGAGGCACCAGUGGGGAAUAUUGCACAAUGGGGGAAACCCUGAUACAGCGACACAGCGUGCGGGAUCGACGGCCUUCGGGUUGUAACCCGCUUUCCACAGGAAAGGAGUGCCAGUGACGGUACCUGCAGAAGAAGUACCGGCUAACUACGUGCCAGCAGCCGCGGUAAUACGUAGGGUACGAGCGUUGUCCGGAAUUAUUGGGCGUAAAGAGCUCGUAGGUGGUUGGUCACGUCUGCUGUGGAAACGCAACGCUUAACGUUGCGCGUGCAGUGGGUACGGGCUGACUAGAGUGCAGUAGGGGAGUCUGGAAUUCCUGGUGUAGCGGUGAAAUGCGCAGAUAUCAGGAGGAACACCGGUGGCGAAGGCGGGACUCUGGGCUGUAACUGACACUGAGGAGCGAAAGCAUGGGGAGCGAACAGGAUUAGAUACCCUGGUAGUCCAUGCCGUAAACGUUGGGCACUAGGUGUGGGGGGCAUU